GCUGGNNGUGGCGGAAUGGCAGACGCGGCGGUCUCAAAAACCGUUGUCCUCAAAGACAUGUGGGUUCGACUCCCUCCUUCGGCA
rnacentral:tRNA from 1 species